AAACUGAGGAUAAUACUGGAUAGGCAAUUUUUCUGCAAUGGUUUUUUGUUUAAAUGUUUUUUCGCCUAAGGAUGGGUCUGCGGCCGAUUAGGUAGUUGGUUAGGUAACGGCUUACCAAGCCAUUGAUCGGUACGGGUUGUGAGAGCAAGAGCCCGGAGAUGGAACCUGAGACAAGGUUCCAGGCCCUACGGGGUGCAGCAGGCGCGAAACCUCCGCAAUGUGAGAAAUCGCGACGGGGGGAUCCCAAGUGCCAUUCUUAACGGGAUGGCUUUUCAUUAGUGUAAAGAGCUUUUGGAAUAAGGGCUGGGCAAGACCGGUGCCAGCCGCCGCGGUAACACCGGCAGCUCUAGUGGUAGCAGUUUUUAUUGGGCCUAAAGCGUCCGUAGCCGGUUUAAUAAGUCUCUGGUGAAAUCCUGUAGCUUAACUGUGGGAAUUGCUGGAGAUACUAUUAGACUUGAGACCGGGAGAGGUUAGAGGUACUCCCAGGGUAGAGGUGAAAUUCUGUAAUCCUGGGAGGACCGCCUGUUGCGAAGGCGUCUAACUGGAACGGUUCUGACGGUGAGGGACGAAAGUUAGGGGCGCGAACCGGAUUAGAUACCCGGGUAGUCCUAACCGUAAACGAUGCGGACUUGGUGUUGGGGUGGCUUUGAGCUGCUUCAGUGCCGAAGGGAAGCUGUUAAGUCCGCCGCCUGGGAAGUACGGUCGCAAGACUGAAACUUAA
rnacentral:rRNA from 1 species